UACAGAGACUGCAAGCGUUAUUCGGAUUCACUGGGCGUAAAGGGUGCGCAGGCGGCCAGGUGUGUUAGGCGUGAAAGCCCGAGGCUUAACCCCGGAAUUGCACCUAAAACUACUUGGCUAGAGCAUUGGAGAGGGUAGCGGAAUUCACGGUGUAGCAGUGAAAUGCGUAGAUAUCGUGAGGAACACCAGAGGCGAAGGCGGCUACCUGGACAAUUGCUGACGCUCAGGCACGAAAGCGUGGGGAGCAAAAGGG
rnacentral:rRNA from 1 species